UGCCCGGUAGUGUAACGGUAGCACGAAUGACUCUGAAUCAUUUAGUUCUGGUUCAAAUCCAGGCCGGGCAA
rnacentral:tRNA from 1 species